AGCAGCAGCCGCGGUAAUACGAAGGGUGCAAGCGUUAAUCGGAAUUACUGGGCGUAAAGCGUGCGUAGGCGGUGAGUUAAGUCUGCUGUGAAAUCCCCGGGCUCAACCUGGGAAUGGCAGUGGAUACUGGCUCGCUAGAGUGUGUCAGAGGAUGGUGGAAUUCCCGGUGUAGCGGUGAAAUGCGUAGAGAUCGGGAGGAACAUCAGUGGCGAAGGCGGCCAUCUGGGACAACACUGACGCUGAGGAGCGAAAGCAUGGGGAGCGAACAGGAUUAGAUACCCCAGUAGUCCCUGUCUCUUAUAC
rnacentral:rRNA from 1 species